rnacentral:tRNA from 2 species
GGCCGGGUGGCGCAAUGGUAGCGCGCUGCCUUCCGGUUGAGGAUGUGGCAGUGGUUGCGUGUUCGAGUCACGUCUCGGUCG